AACAAAAACAAAAAGAAAAAGAACAAUGACUUAUCAUUACUCAAGCUUGUAAAGACCUUGCUAAUUCCAAGAUGUGUGCAGAGCAACAGCAGGAACGGACGGAGCCACUGCUGUUAGGACAUGAAGGAAAAGAGUGUCUGGGGACUGAGUCCUGUGUGCACCCCCGAGCAUGGCUGCAGCGUGCAGUUCUAAGAAUAAACCCACCCAGCCGGGUCGUGGUGGCGCAAUCUUUAAUUCCAGCACUCGGGAGGCAGAGGCAGGCGGAUCUCUAUAACCAACUGACGGUCCAAGCACAGGACAUGUACCUCUCUGGACAAGUCUGUGACAGGAGACUUGUGUCACAGUGGCUAGUGUUACAUGACUACAAACUUUCCUCCAGCUUCCCAGGAAACUCAAGAAGGAACGGAGGCUCCAGGGCAGAGCACCUUGGUACACCCUCAGAAGCCCUGCAUCUGCCUGAAUCGUUGAUGUGAACCCUUCCAGAUGCUGCAUGGAAGCAAAUGCCCUGCACCUGCAGCUACUGCCGGCAGAGUCCAGCGAAGCAGACAUGAAGGGAACCCUUGUUGAUAGCAUGUGAAGGGCUGGAGUCGGUGCGGAACACCCUGAGACCACGUUCUCAGCACAGGAGAUGUAUUUGUCCCAGUGGGACAAAGGGCAGGGAAUAACAGACAAAGACAGGAGACAGGGACCAAAAAAAGACAGGAAAAGGAAAAAGGGAGGAGUAAGGGAUAUUUGUCCUGGAGGGACAAAGGACCACCUCUGGACAGAGAGGAGACAGAUAUUGGCCCAUAGGCAAAUGGCAGUUCAUAAAGGGAAAGGGGGAAACUCCAUGUUAGGAUGAGUUGUUUACCUUUAAUUGGCCAUGUUAAUUACAUGAACCAAAGGGGGCUUUUGAUUGCUGGGCUACAAUACUUUGAUAGCUGGUCGUUGGUGGUGAGCCUCAGGAGAAGGAAGUGGCUAAAUUUAGGACUGUAAUCUAACAGUUUAGGAAGGAAGAGGGAAUGGGGGGGGCAAGACCUGCUAGAGCCAUGUCUGCCAACCUUGGGCCUUCUAGACCCUUUCAGGAAGCCUGUGGUUGGUGCUUACACUCAAGAAAUCAAAAGACAUUGAGCUCGAAAGGUUCUUCUUUGUUGCCUGUGCAGUGUGAGGUGUGUGUGUGCCUCUCUCUCUCUCUCUCUCUCUCUCUCUCUCUCUCUCUCUCUCUCUCUCUCUCUUUUUGUGUGUGUGUGUGUGUGUGUGGUGAUUUGAAUGAAAAUGACACCCAUAGACUCAUAGGGUGUGAUUUUAUUGGAGGUGUGGUCUUUUUGGAGGAAGUGUAUCCCUAAGGGUGGGUUUUGAGGUCUCAGAUCCUCAAGCAACACCCAGUGUCUCAGUCUCAUCUUGCUGCCUGCCUGUCCAGAUGUAGAACUCUCAGCUACCUCUCCAGCACCACCAUCUGCUUGCAUGCAACCUUGCUUCCCACCAUGACAAUAAUGAACUAAACCUCUGAACUCUCCAAUUAAAUGUUUUCCUUUAUGAGAGUU